UCUUCUGCCAUUCUUAAAAAAUAGAAAAAAAGAGAAAAUUUAUCAAAAUGCACCUAAAAGAUGGAGCAUUUUAACCCCAUCAAGAUAUACAUGAUAAUGAGUUAGAACAACUGAAAAUGGUUAAAUUUUAAAUAGUUAAUGAGUUUGGUGUAUUUCGAUAAAUUUCUCAAAAAUAAAAACACACAAGGAAAGCAAAAAAAGAAAAUCAAUGAAGGAAUCUGUACCUAAGUCAAAUUAUUUCUUGUUCUCAUUUCCCUUAGCUCUAGGGCUGGUUGUCAUUUCUCCAAUCAGAAUUAUACAUCACUCACAUAUUUCUUUGUGUUUUUAAUUUUAUUUUAUGAAUGCUUGGUGUGAUAAGGGAGAGUUUAGCAAUGACUCUUGAAGCUAUAUGUUCCUCGGUCUUUCGUUUGAGGUGUAUUUUUGGGUCCAUAUUUAGGGCUUGAAUCUGCGAUAGAUCCUUAGCAGAUUCCAGGGGUAGAAGUUGUAACAAGCUCAUACAAACUAGGCAACCCACAUUUAUUCAGAGGAUUCUGGGUAGGACUCUUGCCCUUUCUUCUUUCCUUUUCCUUUCUCAUUAACAUUUAUUGCAGUCUAUCAGAUUUUAAUUCAUUGCUUGAAACUAUUAAGCCAUAUAUGUUUUUCCACCCGAGUUAUUUUCAUACUUCAUAGGAACUCCGCUUCUCAUUUCAUAGCCACCCACCCCCCAAGUUCUUUGCACAAUUUGCAGGAACGGGGCUUCUCCAUUCAUAGCUACCCCUAUACAUGGAUUGUAUCUCAAAAUGCAAAUCCAGAGUGUAGCUGAGGGCAUUAUCCACCAUGAUACCCUCUGUUCCAAUCUUGUAAUCCAAUCUUACCUUGCCAUUGUUAAUCCAUACAAAACCAAACCGGCAUAUUUGAAACCGUUGGGAUUUAACAUAAGUUGUUGCCUCCAUAAAUUGUGAUAAAGCGAGAUCCCUUUGACAUAAUGGACAUAUGAUGAAGGCCCUCCCUCCAUCAUGAAGCCUGCCA
rnacentral:lncRNA from 1 species